rnacentral:tmRNA from 1 species
GGGGGCGCACUGGUUUCGACUUCGUUGGUCGGGAACUGAGAAGCGUGUAGAGGAUGAUUGUUGGCCUCUUAAAACAUCAAUCGAAAACACAACAGGCAACGAUAAUAACGACGCCAUCCUGCUCGCUGAAGCCGAGGAGAUCGCUAACGCGGUUUUCGCGACCGACGCAGUUGAAGUUUCCGCUCAGACUCCGGUCUUCGCGUAAGCUAGGAGGUGAAGGGAUUUCCGCAACCUUCAUUUCUUGAUAAUCACUAGGAUGCUGCAUAAGUCUGGUUCUCAGCUUAUGCCUAAGACUUCGAGGGCAAACACUCAACCACUGAGGUCACAUAUUUGGUUGAGAUCGGAUGUGAAUACGCACGUAGAAUGCAGUUGCUAGUCAACGAAACACGCGGGUUCGACUCCCGCCGCCUCCACCA